rnacentral:rRNA from 1 species
ACGAACGCUGGCGGCGUGCCUAAUACAUGCAAGUAGAACGCUGAAGAGAGGAGCUUGCUCUUCUUGGAUGAGUUGCGAACGGGUUAGUAACGCGUAGGUAACCUGCCUUGUAGCGGGGGAUAACUAUUGGAAACGAUAGCUAAUACCGCAUAACAAUGGAUGACACAUGUCAUUUAUUUUAAAGGUGCAAUUUCUCCACUACAAGAUGGACCUGCGGUGUAUUAGCUAGUAGGUGAGGUAAUGGCUCACCUAGGCGACGAUACAUAGCCGACCUGAGAGGGUGCUAUGCCACGCUGGGACUGAGGCACGGCCCAGACUCCUACGGCAGGCAGCCGUAGCGGAUCUCCAGCAAUGGGAGCAAUCCUGACCGAGCAACGCCGCGUGAGUGACGAAGGUUUUCGGAUCGUAAAGCUCUGUUGUAAGUCAAGAUCGGGAGUGAGAGUGGCAAGUUCACACUGUGACGGUAGCUUACCAGAAAGGGACGGCUAACUACGUG